rnacentral:rRNA from 1 species
UUGGGUUGUAAACCCCUUUUCUCAGGGAAGAAGAAAGUGACGGUACCUGAGGAAUCAGCCUCGGCUAACUCCGUGCCAGCAGCCGCGGUAAUACGGAGGAGGCAAGCGUUAUCCGGAAUGAUUGGGCGUAAAGCGUCUGUAGGUGGCUAUUCAAGUCUGCUGUCAAAGCCUGAGGCUCAACCUCAGAUCGGCAGUGGAAACUGGGUAGCUUGAGUGCGGUAGGGGCAGAGGGAAUUCCCGGUGUAGCGGUGAAAUGCGUAGAGAUCGGGAAGAACACCGGUGGCGAAAGCGCUCUGCUGGGCCGCAACUGACACUGAGGGACGAAAGCUAGGGGAGCGAAUGGGAUUAGAUACCCCAGUAGUCCUAGCCGUAAACGAUGGAAACUAGGUGUUGCCUGUAUCGACCCGGGCAGUGCCGUAGCUAACGCGUUAAGUUUCCCGCCUGGGGAGUACGCACGCAAGUGUGAAACUCAAAGGAAUUGACGGGGGCCCGCACAAGCGGUGGAGUAUGUGGUUUAAUUCGAUGCAACGCGAAGAACCUUACCAGGGCUUGACAUGUCCGGAAGCCUGGGGAAACCCGGGUGUGCCUUCGGGAACCGGAACACAGGUGGUGCAUGGCUGUCGUCAGCUCGUGUCGUGAGAUGUUGGGUUAAGUCCCGCAACGAGCGCAACCCUCGUUCUUAGUUGCCAGCAUUAAGUUGGGCACUCUAGGGAGACUGCCGGUGACAAACCGGAGGAAGGUGGGGAUGACGUCAAGUCAUCAUGCCCCUUACGUCCUGGGCUACACACGUACUACAAUGGGGAGGACAGAGGGCAGCCACUUCGCGAGAAGGAGCUAAUCCCGAAAACCUUUCCUCAGUUCAGAUUGCAGGCUGCAACUCGCCUGCAUGAAGGAGGAAUCGCUAGUAAUCGCAGGUCAGCAUAUUGCGGUGAAUCCGUUCCCGGGCCUUGUACACACCGCCCGUCACACCAUGGAAGUUAGCCCGGCCCGAAGUCAUUACUC